rnacentral:rRNA from 1 species
GUGGGGAAUAUUGGACAAUGGGCGCAAGCCUGAUCCAGCCAUGCCGCGUGAGUGAUGAAGGCCCUAGGGUUGUAAAGCUCUUUCACCGGUGAAGAUAAUGACGGUAACCGGAGAAGAAGCCCCGGCUAACUUCGUGCCAGCAGCCGCGGUAAUACGAAGGGGGCUAGCGUUGUUCGGAAUUACUGGGCGUAAAGCGCACGUAGGCGGACAUUUAAGUCAGGGGUGAAAUCCCAGAGCUCAACUCUGGAACUGCCUUUGAUACUGGGUGUCUUGAGUAUGGAAGAGGUAAGUGGAAUUCCGAGUGUAGAAGUGAAAUUCGUAGAUAUUCGGAGGAACACCAGUGGCGAAGGCGGCUUACUGGUCCAUUACUGACGCUGAGGUGCGAAAGCGUGGGGAGCAAACAGGAUUAGAUACCCCGGUAGUCC